rnacentral:rRNA from 1 species
UACGAAGGGGGCUAGCGUUGCUCGGAAUUACUGGGCGUAAAGCGCACGUAGGCGGCUUUACAAGUCAGGGGUGAAAGCCCGCGGCUCAACCGCGGAAUUGCCCUUGAGACUGUAUCGCUUGAACACGGGAGAGGUGAGUGGAAUUCCGAGUGUAGAGGUGAAAUUCGUAGAUAUUCGGAAGAACACCAGUGGCGAAGGCGGCUCACUGGACCGUAGUUGACGCUGAGGUGCGAAAGCGUGGGGAGCAAACAGG